rnacentral:lncRNA from 1 species
UUCAAGACUUAAAAAAUAUUUUAAUAUCCAAAAUAAUCAAAUUGUUAAACUACAUCCUGCAGACCGGCAGCAUAAUUUUGUAAAUAAAGUUUUAGUGGAACCAGGGUGUUGAGGUCAGUAAGCUCAAGGCACAAGUGCGGGGUUCUAGCCUCUUCAAAAUUUUAUUUAGGCCGGGCACGGUGGCUCACGCUUGUAAUCCCAGCACUUUCGGAGGCCGCGGGGCGCGGAUCACCCGAGGUCAGGAGUUGGAGACCAGCCACGACUAACAUGGUGUCUCCAAUAAAAAUACAAAAAUUAGCCAGGAUGGUCUCAAUCUCCUGAUCUUGUGAUCCACCUGCCUCGGCCUCCCAAAGUGCUGGGAUUACAGGUGUGAGCCACUGCGCCCGGCCUGUUAUCCACAUUUUAUAAAUGAGGAAACCAAGGCACAGAGAGGUGAAGUGACUUGCCCAAGAUCAUACAGUGG